rnacentral:rRNA from 1 species
UACGUAGGGUGCGAGCGUUAAUCGGAAUUACUGGGCGUAAAGCGUGCGCAGGCGGUCUGUUAAGACCGAUGUGAAAUCCCCGGGCUUAACCUGGGAACUGCAUUGGUGACUGGCAGGCUUUGAGUGUGGCAGAGGGAGGUAGAAUUCCACGUGUAGCAGUGAAAUGCGUAGAGACGUGGAGGAAUACCGAUGGCGAAGCCAGCCUCCUGGGCCAACACUGACGCUCAUGCACGAAAGCGUGGGGAGCAAACAGG